rnacentral:rRNA from 1 species
AGAGUUUGAUCAUUGCUCAUGAUGAACGCUGACAGAAUGCUUAACACAUGCAAGUCUACUUGAACUUCGGUUUGGGUGGCGGACGGGUGAGUAACGCGUAAAGAACUUGCCUCACAGUUAGGGACAACAUUUGGAAACGAAUGCUAAUACCUGAUAUUAUGAUUUUAGGGCAUCCUAAGAUUAUGAAAGCUAUAUGCGCUGUGAGAGAGCUUUGCGUCCCAUUAGCUAGUUGGAGAGGUAACGGCUCACCAAGGCGAUGAUGGGUAGCCGGCCUGAGAGGGUGAACGGCCACAAGGGGACUGAGACACGGCCCUUACUCCUACGGGAGGCAGCAGUGGGGAAUAUUGGACAAUGGACCAAAAGUCUGAUCCAGCAAUUCUGUGUGCACGAUGACGUUUUUCGGAAUGUAAAGUGCUUUCAGUUGGGAAGAAAAAAAUGACGGUACCAACAGAAGAAGUGACGGCUAAAUACGUGCCAGCAGCCGCGGUAAUACGUAUGUCACAAGCGUUAUCCGGAUUUAUUGGGCGUAAAGCGCGUCUAGGUGGUUAUGUAAGUCUGAUGUGAAAAUGCAGGGCUCAACUCUGUAUUGCGUUGGAAACUGCACAACUAGAGUACUGGAGAGGUAAGCGGAACUACAAGUGUAGAGGUGAAAUUCGUAGAUAUUUGUAGGAAUGCCGAUGGGGAAGCCAGCUUACUGGACAGAUACUGACGCUAAAGCGCGAAAGCGUGGGUAGCAAACAGGAUUAGAUACCCUGGUAGUCCACGCCGUAAACGAUGAUUACUAGGUGUUGGGGGUCGAACCUCAGCGCCCAAGCUAACGCGAUAAGUAAUCCGCCUGGGGGAGUACGUACGCAAGUAUGAAACUCAAAGGAAUUGACGGGGACCCGCACAAGCGGUGGAGCAUGUGGUUUAAUUCGACG